UAUGUCAGUCAUAUCACCCUGCAGCCCAAGAUUGGUUUCUCAUUGAAGCUAAGCAGGGCUGAGCCUGGUCAGUACCUGGAUGGGUGACCACUUGGAAGACUUGGAAGUGGUAUUA
rnacentral:rRNA from 1 species